rnacentral:misc_RNA from 1 species
UUUCUUCCCCCCCAGGUAAAUUUCAUAAACUUCUUCCAAGAUUGCUUUUUGUUUGAUAAAAAUUAUUUUAGUUUCGCAUUUGUAUCUAUGCACGAAGAAGGGUUUUAUCAUUUAUGGUAAUCCUGUUAAUCUUGGUAAAGAAUGGGGAACAGCUUUGGAUAGUAUGGUGAAAUUUCAAAAAUUAGAGAAUGGGGAACAGCUUGUGGA